rnacentral:rRNA from 1 species
GACGAACGCUGGCGGCGUGCUUAACACAUGCAAGUCGAACGGUAAGGCCCUUCGGGGUACACGAGUGGCGAACGGGUGAGUAACACGUGGGUGAUCUGCCCUGCACUUCGGGAUAGGCCUGGGAAACUGGGUCUAAUACCGGAUAGGACCACUGCCUGCAUGGGUGGUGGUGGAAAGCUUUUGCGGUGUGGGAUGGGCCCGCGGCCUAUCAACUUGUUGGUGGGGUGAUGGCCUACCAAGGCGACGACGGGUAGCCGGCCUGAGAGGGUGACCGGCCACACUGGGAGUGAGGUACGGCCCAGACGCCUACGGGAGGCAGGAGUGGGGAAUAUUGCACAAUGGGCGCAAGCCUGAUGCAGCGACGCCGCGUGAGGGAUGACGGCCUUCGGGUUGUAAACCUCUUUCAGCACCGACGAAGCGCAAGUGACGGUAGGUGCAGAAGAAGGACCGGCCAACUACGUGCCAGCCGCCGCCGUAA